CCACAUACUUUCCAACACAUCUAUUAAACAGUGCGCAGUGAAUCACUAAUACAGUUUCGUUCAAGAACCUUCGCGAUUAUUAAAAGCCUGAUAAUCAUGAACGAUAUCUAUGGUAAUAUCCCAAAUCAUAUUUUCGGUUUUAAUUCAAAAGAAAAACAUAAUAAAAUAUGCAGACCAAUAAUACGGCGCAAGCCACUGACCGUUAUUCAGGCCAAACAAUUAUUAUUGAAACACCGGGCCAAAUUGUCUGCUCCUUAUCAGAGGAGCAGUGUAACAAUUCAAUCGUUUAUUGGAUCCGACCGAUUAAACAGUCCCAAUAAAUAAGUACACGCACGUUAU